GGGGGGGGUGCUUAAACUGCAAGUCGAACGGAAAGGCCCUUCGGGGUACUCGAGUGGCGAACGGGUGAGUAACACGUGGGUGAUCUGCCCUGCACUCUGGGAUAAGCCUGGGAAACUGGGUCUAAUACCGGAUAGGACCACACACUUCAUGGUGAGUGGUGCAAAGCUUUUGCGGUGUGGGAUGAGCCCGCGGCCUAUCAGCUUGUUGGUGGGGUAAUGGCCCACCAAGGCGACGACGGGUAGCCGGCCUGAGAGGGUGACCGGCCACACUGGGACUGAGAUACGGCCCAGACUCCUACGGGAGGCAGCAGUGGGGAAUAUUGCACAAUGGGCGCAAGCCUGAUGCAGCGACGCCGCGUGAGGGAUGACGGCCUUCGGGUUGUAAACCUCUUUCAGUAGGGACGAAGCGAAAGUGACGGUACCUACAGAAGAAGGACCGGCCAACUACGUGCCAGCAGCCGCGGUAAUACGUAGGGUCCGAGCGUUGUCCGGAAUUACUGGGCGUAAAGAGCUCGUAGGUGGUUUGUCGCGUUGUUCGUGAAAACUCACAGCUUAACUGUGGGCGUGCGGGCGAUACGGGCAGACUAGAGUACUGCAGGGGAGACUGGAAUUCCUGGUGUAGCGGUGGAAUGCGCAGAUAUCAGGAGGAACACCGGUGGCGAAGGCGGGUCUCUGGGCAGUAACUGACGCUGAGGAGCGAAAGCGUGGGUAGCGAACAGGAUUAGAUACCCUGGUAGUCCACGCCGUAAACGGUGGGUACUAGGUGUGGGUUUCCUUCCUUGGGAUCCGUGCCGUAGCUAACGCAUUAAGUACCCCGCCCUGGGGAGUACGGUCGCAAGACUAAAACUCAAAGGAAUUGACGGGGGCCCGCACAAGCGGCGGAGCAUGUGGAUUAAUUCGAUGCAACGCGAAGAACCUUACCUGGGUUUGACAUGCACAGGACGUACCU
rnacentral:rRNA from 1 species